rnacentral:rRNA from 1 species
GACGAACGCUGGCGGCGUGCCUAAUACAUGCAAGUCGAGCGAACGGACGAGAAGCUUGCUUCUCUGAUGUUAGCGGCGGACGGGUGAGUAACACGUGGAUAACCUACCUAUAAGACUGGGAUAACUUCGGGAAGCCGGAGCUAAUACCGGAUAAUAUUUUGAACCGCAUGGUUCAAAAGUGAAAGACGGUCUUGCUGUCACUUAUAGAUGGAUCCGCGCUGCAUUAGCUAGUUGGUAAGGUAACGGCUUACCAAGGCAACGAUGCAUAGCCGACCUGAGAGGGUGAUCGGCCACACUGGAACUGAGACACGGUCCAGACUCCUACGGGAGGCAGCAGUAGGGAAUCUUCCGCAAUGGGCGAAAGCCUGACGGAGCAACGCCGCGUGAGUGAUGAAGGUCUUCGGAUCGUAAAACUCUGUUAUUAGGGAAGAACAUAUGUGUAAGUAACUGUGCACAUCUUGACGGUACCUAAUCAGAAAGCCACGGCUAACUACGUG